ACGUACAGUCUGUAUUUCCUGGACCACCUGGUCAAGGCCCUGCAGAAGAUGUGCCUGCAUGAGCUCACCGUCCCCGUCCUGCAGCUGGGGGUGCUGAUUUCGGAGUCCGUGGUGGGAAGCAAGGGCCUGGCGGAUCUCUACCGCCUCCGCCUCGCCCACGUGUGCUCCGAGCUGAAGCUGACGGAGGCAGCGGCACAGCACGAAGAGGCGGUCGGGCAGGUGCACAUCAGUGAGCUGGAGCAGGCCAGCUGCAGAAAAGAGAUCGCACUGAAAAAAGAGAAAAACAAGGAGCCCUCAUUAGAAGAAAGCCUGCCGGUGCUCAGCCAGCAGACCCUCACCGCCCGCUCUGUCGAGAUCAAACCACUGGAAGCCAAGGACAAGAUUUUGAAGAUGAAUGGGGAGACUGGGAGGGGCCUCGAUGGGACGUCCUAUCCGCACCUGUGGCUUCUGAAGGCAGAGGUUCUGCUGGAGAUGAGCCUGUACCAGCCUGCACGGCUGCUCCUGUCCGAGGCGAACCUGGCUUUCCAGGAGCUGGAUGAGCCUUGCGCAGAGGCCCGGUGCCUGUUCCUCCUGGCACAGCUGGCCAACAGGGAGAAGAACUAUGGACAAGCCAAGAGAAUGAUCGCACAGGCCCAGCACCUGGGCGGGAACGAGGAGUUCUGGUACGAUUCCACGCUGACCCUGGCAGAGGCGCUCUUGUCGACGGAACACCCAGGACGAGAAGCUACGGUGUGCCACAUAUUCCAGAAGCUCAUCAGUGCCCUCAAGAUUCUCAAGAAAGAAAGACCAAACCGAAUGCCGUUGUUAGAAUUCAUGAUCACAGACCUAGAAGCCAGGUGCCUGAGCCUGCGGGUCAGAGUUGCACAGGAGUCUGCUGUCACGGAACCCACAGAGUGCUCGCUGCUGCUGAAGGAGCUGGACGACAGCUUGUUGGAUAUUGAGAGAAGGUUUAUUGACUGUGGCUACAAAGAGAAUUGUGUUGACGUCAAACUAGAGCGUGCGAAGAUCAAGAGGUUACGUGCCCAGAACGAGAAAGAUGAAGAACAGAAAACUGCAUAUUACUUGGAGGCGUAUGGCCUGGCGCAGAGCGCUGUGGCUGAGGAAGAAGAGAGGUUCCAGAGCAUCCGGGCCUUGUUGUUGCUUCACAAUGUGCAGAACGUCAACACGCCUCUGAUGAGGAAGCUGGCGCGCCUCAAACUCGGCCUGGUGGAGAUGGCUCUGGGCAUGCUCCAGUUCAUCUGGGAGGGGGCCCGCGGGCCGCGGAGCGAGCAGGGGUCCCUGGAGAAGCUGCUGGCAGAGUAUCUGCAGAACACCAGCGACGACACUUCCGUUGGCCUGCAAUGGUUCACGCUGAAGCGCACCCUGGCACACGGGGCACUGGCGCAGCUGGGGAGCCUGCAGCCGCUGAGUGUGGGCUGCGUGGAGAUCCGUGCCCGGCUCCUGGGACUGGCCGGGAGGGCCAUCCACCUGCUGGCCGUGCAAGCCGACCCUGUGCGCCCCGCCUGCUACUGGGAGGAGGAACCCUCGGUGGGCGCCAAGCUGAGCAACCUCAGGUCUCUGGAGCUGGAAGCAGAGGAAGAGGAUGCCACAAAGUCCAGCAGGGACCUGCCAGCCUCCAGGGCGGCCCUGGAGGAGCACAGCAGGAGACGCGGGGACCUGAAGAGGAGGAUGGUUCUGGCCCAGCGGUACCUGGCACAGGCGUCAGAGGUGUUGCUGCAGUGCCUACACGUGGCCCUUGGCAGUGGCCUCCUGGACGUGGCGGCAGCCGCCAGCCUGGAGAUGGUGGAGUGCAUCGGCGCCCUGGACCCUGCUACUACCUGCCAGUUCCUGGCGCUGUCUCAGAGCUGCUCGGCCUCAGAGACGAUGAGGGAUGUCCUGCUCGCAGCCACGGCCGACACCAGCAGCUCCCAGCUGGCGGCCCUUCUGCAGCUGCAGCAGCAGCUCCGGCGCCAGGACAGGACCACCACCGGCCUGGGCGCCAGCGUGGAGCAGAGGCUGGCUGCUGUGUCCAAGGCUUGGCAAAACCUCUGCGUCACUGAGCAGCAUUUUAACCUCUUGAAUGAGAUACCUCCCACCUUUCGGCUGCUCUUUCUGCAGCUGUCACCGGACAGGUCCCAUCUGUACAGCGCUGCCUAUGAGAAACCCAAGUUCAUUCCUGUGGCCAAAGGAAAGGUGCAGCACGUCGGAGGCCCCUGCAAGGUGAUGCGGCUGGCUGUGAGUCCCACCGCCUUCUCCCACCUGCUGGCCUGUGCCCAGGAGUUCCGGCAGGAGAUGCAGGCCCAGGUGUACACAGAGGACCUGCUGCAGAGCACAGGCUCGGAGCCAGAAGGCCUGCAGGCGGAAGAGAAGCAGCCCGCGGUGCACAGUCCCCGCAGCGUCCUGGAGGCCCUGGAGGAGCUUCUGCGGCCGCUCUUCCCCGUGCUCGGUGUCCCCGAGGCCAGAGUGCAGAUGCCCGUGAUGGUUGCAGAUUCAGGGAAGCCCAAGGGUAAAGACAAGGAGAGGAAACCGUCCACAGGGCCACAGAACACAGCCCAGCCCGAGGUGGCUGAUAAGAUCGUCCUGGUCGCAGACAGAGAUCUCCUGGAGCUGCCACUGGAAGGUCUCUCCGUGUUCGAUGAGGGGACAAUUUCCUCUGUGUCACGAGAAUUUUCUCUCCAAAUGUUAUGGAAUCGCCUCCGUAAAGAAGAGACAGAAGGUGGCGUGAAAAAGGAGGGGAGAAGCAGAGACCCCAAGAAGAGAAGCCUGUCGAAGAAGGGCAAGAAGGGCAGCUUCCCCCGGGUCAUACCCCCCGACAGCAUCCUGGUCGACUCGGACAACUUCAAGUUCAUCGUGGACCCGUAUGAGGAAGCCCAGGGCCCAGAAAUGCUGACUCCUGUCUCCAUCACCCAAGAAAUUUUGGAAAGAUUCCAAGACACGUUCACGUCGCGAUGGGUGGGACAUCUGGGGAGCAAGCAGUUUCCCAGCCAGGCCCAGUGGGAGCAGGCUCUGGGCAGCUGCAGCGGCUUCUUCUUCUAUGGGAUGGAGCGCCUCCUGUCCCAUAUAUUAGUGGAGAGAUUGGUCGCCAUGAACUUGCAAGAGUGCCAGGUGCUGGUCGUGCUGGACCUGGCGCGGUCCUACCAGAGCAUGAGGCGGCACAUGGAGAGCCCGGAGCACAGGAGUGCCUCAAAGCCAUCCCUGGAGGAUCCCGUCAACGUGGCCAUCCUGCUGAGCCUGGUGGGGGUCAAGAGCAUCCUGGCGAACCAGUGGUCCACACUGCUGCAGGACAACGCGCUGCGGGCCAGCGUCCUUUGGGAAAAUCUGUUGGCCGUGGGGAAGCCGGUUGGAGAAACCGUGCGCCUCCUUCAGGAGAUGAGCGGGGAUGAGGCGGUGAACCAAGGUGAGGGCGGCAGCCGGCACGCGGGUCCCCCAGCGUGGACACGCGCUCCCCACAGCCCUCCAGGGACAGGGUCUCGGCUUCCCCGUGGGGAACUGGGAUUCCAGACACUGACUAGGAGCCAGAAAGAGGAGGCUUGUUCUUGCCUGGAAGUGGCCUGCGUCUCUGCACUGCCCCGGGCACCCCCCACCCCCCGCAGUGGCAUGAGCCUCCGUGGUGACACCUGCGACUCCGUGUGGCUCCAGAACCCACAGGGAAAGCAUCGCGGUCAUCGAAGACCGCGACAGCGCCAAUCACACGAAUCCUGCGAGCCCGGGGCUCUCUGGGAACCAGUGGGAGAUCCAGGGGGCAGCUGUGCCAAGCCCCUCCCACAGUGAGGUCCGGACGGCCCCUGGAUGUGGCCAGGGGUCCCCCCCUGUGAAGAGGCCUCCUGGAAGGGGAGUGCGUGGGCUGAGGCUGGAGAGCAGCCUGACUCACGUCACACCCAGCGCCUGUCCCUCCCACGGCCUCACAGGGGCAACGUGGGAAGGGGCCCAGGACAUGGUCUGUUCUCAAACAUGGACAGGCGCAACCCCACCCACUCAUCCUUCAGAGUCAGCAAAACCCUCCUGCCAUGGUGGGGGGAGUGCAGAGCGGAGCUUCGCGGGACCCUGGGUCGAAGCGCUCAGCCGUGCACGGAAGGGGUGGUCUGCCCUGCCGAGGAAGGCGCCCCCCCACCGAGCCCUUCAGUGUCCGCCACUGGCCAGGAGCUUAUCGUGUAGAGAGCAUGUGGUCUGCAGUCUGGGGUGCCGGGCCCAGCGCCCCAUGCUUGUCGGGGGAGGGAGGGAGCGAGGGGCAGGAGGAAGGCGGACGGAGCGCAAACACGGAGCCGGUGCAGACACGGAGGCCACCGUGGCGUGGCUGGUGUGGCGCUCUGCAGGGGACUCCGGGAAGGGCGGAGCCACGCCGGAGUCGUUCUGCUGCCGCUCAGCCGUGACCCAGCCCCGGUCUCUGCAGAGGGGACCUGAGCCCAGGCGACCGACACGUUGCGAAGGAAGGGCAGAGGGCGCUGCUCCCUGCAGGGCAGCAGCCACACCCUAGACGGCCGCCCCCCAGCAAAGCAGCUCGCCCGGCCGAGGGGCGGGUCAGGGACAGUGGGCUUCGGGGCAGGGGGCCCAGUCCUGGUGCCAUCACCGGGCUGUGCGGGGCCUUCCUGCCCUGACGCUCCUGGGCCUGGAAACUGUUGGUGACUUGGACACGUCGGUGCAGGAGGGGUGUGCAGUUGGUGGGGGCGCCCUGGGGGGCCUGGCGGAUGGCAGUGUGUCCCCUCGGCACCCUCAGUAGGAGCACCUGCCGUGCCCGCCCCUGUGCCAUGGCCCUCGGCCAGGCUGGACGUCCUGCGGAUCCUCGGGGUUCAUGGCUCCCGUCCCUCUCUCCACAGACGAGGCUUCUCAGACCUUGAAGGACAAGGUGCUCCUGCAGCUGCAGCCACAGCUCCAAAGCUCCGAGCUCCUUCCCACCACGCUCAACUUGGUCCUGUACGGGCUGCCACACCAAGCCGUCGGGUAGUGCGGGCCUGGACACCGCCCUCCGCCCUGCCCCUCUGCCAACCCACGGCCCUCCCAUCCCCACCGCCGGGCUCGCUCUCCCCAGCCCUUGGUGCAGCCUCAGCCUGAGACCUUCCUCCGUGCCCUCCUGCCGGGCGGUCACCUGGACCUCCAGCUCUGCUUGCCCAUGUGCGCCAUGCGGUCUGUGUUGGGGCUGGAGCUGCGUCUCUCCCUAGGGCCAGGAAGAGCCUCCUCCCAUCAGGAGGCUUCCAAAGCCCCAGGCUCAUUUAUGCUGGCAGCAAAACCGCCUUUCCCUGGGGAGGAGGCACCCCCGGCAGAGCCCCAGGAUGCCGACAAAGGCUCUCAGCGCCACGCCGCCGCUGGGUCACUCAGACCAGGAGCACCUUUAGGACCUGUUAGGCUGUUUUCGAUUUGAGUGUUCUAGUAAACAACAAAAGCCAGUCUCUGUGCGUGGUCUCUGUGAGUGUGUGUGUGUGAUCUCCGUGAGUGUGUGUGUGUGGUCUCUGUGUGUGUGUUUGUGGUCUCUGGGAGUGUGUGUGUGUGGUCUCUGGGAGUGUGUGUGUGUGGUCUCUGGGAGUGUCUGUGUGUGGUCUCUGGGAGUGUGUGUGUGUGAUCUCCGUGAGUGUGUGUAUGGUCUCUGUGAGUGUGUGUGGUCUCUGGGAGUGUGUGUGUGUGGUCUCUGGGACUUGAGGCUCUUUGUGUGGUCUCUUCGAGUGUGUGUGUGUGGUCUCCAGGACUCAAGGCUCUGUGUGUGGUCUCUGCCACUGGGAGUGUCUGUGUGUGGUCUCUGUGAGUGUGUGUGUGUGGUCUCUGUGAGUGUCUGUGUGUGGUCUGAGUCUCUGUGUGUGGUCUCUAUGAGUCUCUGUGUGUGGUCUGAGUCUCUGUGUGUGGUCUCUAUGAGUCUCUGUGUGUGGUCUCUGCCACUCGAGUGUCUGUGUGUGGUCUCUAUGAGUCUCUGUGUGUG
ensembl:lincRNA